CGCCUAUGUUAUUCAAAAUUUAACUAUUCAUCCGAAUACCGCACUUUGUACUAUUUGUGGGUCUGUUGACACAAGACAAGAUGGAAGAUGAUCAUUUGUUUAUGGUAGAAAAGGACUGAAGUCCAUCAGAUAUUGGUUCGAGGAAUAGAGGAGGUGAAAGAAGAGCUGAAACAUGUAGAAAAGCAGGUGAAUCCAAGUUAUGUUUGUCUGUCCAUCGAAUAGAAAAUGAAAUUUCAAAACUUGUUUGUUGGAAAAGUAAGUAUUACAUUUACUAUUGUAAAAUGUUAUUAGUCAAGCA